GGCCCAGUAGCGGACGGUUUCCGCCCCUGCUUCCAAUUGUGCGGCUAUAGCGAGGUCUCAGCAGGAGAGUGCUCGUUCGACUCGAGCUCGGGCCA